rnacentral:rRNA from 1 species
CAGUAGCCGCGGGAAUACGGAGGAUCCAAGCGUUAUCCGGAAUCAUUGGGUUUAAAGGGUCCGUAGGCGGUCUUGUAAGUCAGUGGUGAAAGCCCAUCGCUCAACGGUGGAACGGCCAUUGAUACUGCAGGACUUGAAUUAUUGGGAAGUAACUAGAAUAUGUAGUGUAGCGGUGAAAUGCUUAGAGAUUACAUGGAAUACCAAUUGCGAAGGCAGGUUACUACCAAUUGAUUGACGCUGAUGGACGAAAGCGUGGGUAGCGAACAGGAUUAGAUACCCCCGUAGUCCCCUGUCUCUUAUA